GGCCCGGCCGCGGCCGCUCCGCGCUUCCCGGCCCACCCCGAGGAGACGCGGCCGCGGCGGCGCGGCCCGACCCGCCCCGGCGGGGAGCGGCGCGGCGCCAUUAGCUGAGGGCGCCGUCGCUCCGCCGGUGGCACCGUCACGUGGGCGGCCGGGCCCCAGCGAGCGGCGAGUGGGGGGCGGGACGUGCGGGCCGGAAGCUGCGGGGCGGGCCCGCCGGGGGCACCGCCGCGAGGGAGCCCGGGCCGCGAGGGGGCGCGGGGUAGUGGGCCGAGCCGAGUGGAGCCCAGCCGAGCCGGGUCUCGCUUGCGCCCCCGGCUGUGCGGAGCCCCGUUGCGGACGGGAGGCAGCAGCUUUCUCCCCGCAGGUUUUCCCUCGUCGCUGUCGUUAGGACUCCAGGCGGGGUGGCUGAGCUCUAGGACUGGGCCAGAAGCCUCACCUACGGGUGGAUGCACUGUGAUGGAAUUUUCUCAGUUCCCAAGAGACUCCUGGUGCCAGCUGCAACAGGGCUCCCAGCCGAAGGGGUGGACCUGGGCAAUGUUAAGUCAAUCAGCAAAACAGCUGGAGCUGCCUGGCAGUGCUCGCCCCACCAUGGGCAAACACCAGCUGGAUGUGGGUCACGUGCCCAGUGUUUGAAGUUAAGUUUAUCUGGAUGUACCUGCAGUAAUAAUAUGUCGUAAGUACAUGUGGGGAAUGAAGACUUUGAAGUGAAUGGAACAAAGUGCAUGAUUAAAAUGAGAAAACAAAUUAGCGGCUGCAAAAUCGAGGCCCCAAGAUGUUCUUUUGUUCCACAUCACGAAUGUUGAGCUAAAGGUCAUGAAAGUACGUAAUCGCCUUCAACAGCAGAUCUUAAAAUCAUAUUUUUGGCCAGAACAAAGUGGGAAAGAUAAUUCUGGUUGUGUGUUUUCGGUAAACAGGCUGACAUCAUAUAGUUACACCCAACAUCUAGGUAGGACUUAAAAUUUUUGGAACAGUGUUGGUAAUUGAGCAGGUGAUGCUUGUAAAAGUAAAUAUAUUCAUUUAAUGAUAGGCUUUUGUAAAUAACAUGCCAUAAAAUGACUCAUUAAAUAUAUUUGCUUUCUUAACUAGUUAAAUUUCAUGACAGAGGAAGUGAGGAAAAUGCAACUAGCUAUACAGAGAUUUUUGUGCACUAUUGUCACAUGACUGAUUCUGUAAUUUAAAAAAUCACAUUUCAGCUUUGCCCAGCUCAAUACAGUAUAUCAUAUCAAUUGUGAUUACAUUUUCUAAGGGGUAGUAUUGGCUGCAGGCUACAAAGUACGCACACUUUGUGUUAUUUUGUGGUUUAAUAUAUACAGAUAGCACAUUCCAGGGCCUUCAUAGUUUCCCUUUCUGAGGGGGGGUGAGAUUUUUGUACUGGCCUACUCAACAACUGUUACAAACACCUAACAAUGCUGAACAGUCUUUGAAAUGUACAUUAUAAAAUAUUACUUAAAUCUUCAAGUAUUGAGAAGUAGGUAGUCUCACUAAAAUUCAAACGCUACUGUUACAACCCAAACAUUCUCUCUGGAAGUAUAGCAGCUUCAGGAAGGUGGUUUAUAAUUUUCCUCCAAACAAGAACAGUUAGCUACAGUAUAUUUAAAACUUAUUUAUUAAGAUACAUCCAUGACCCUCUCUUUGAGUAAAAUGAAUGCAGCUACGUAUAUGCAGUGAUACAUAAGUGAAUGUACAUGUUUUCAAAGAUAACAAUAUUAAUGCUGCAUAGACUUGAAGAUUUUCAAUUUUUGCAGCUAAGGCCUAUACAGCAUUAAAAACCAGAGUUACCAUAAAUAGUAAUAAAAUGUUAAGACUUCUUUGAAUGUUUCCUUUAUUUUCUCUUUAUUUCCCAGAUGACUGUUUAAGUUUCCUCAUUUGUCUCAUGGAGCAGGCUUUGUCUUACUUUGAUGUUUGCAUUUUUGUCUUUUUUGUGUUACACACUAAAUGUGCUGGAUAGCUGCUGUCUGGUUUUAGAGCUAGCAGUGGUGAAAAGUUACAAUGGCCAAGCUAUUUUUAAUUGGGUAUCUCAUGCAGAUAUCAAAACCACAGCUUCCUUUUAACCCACAACAUGACUUUGUGCAUUGCAUCAUCAGAUAUCUUGCGUUAGGCCGUGCAAAUUGGGAAUGCUCCCACUUUGGAUUACCUAGGCUGCUCUAGGUACAGGGUUGCAGCAACCUGGCAAGGUGUUUCUUGGCUGGCACGCACACAGACAGCUUUUCUCAGCGUGAUGCAGUGGGAUGGCAACUGGGUGAGCUAUGGCGUGCGUGGAAGAUCUUGGAACCAGGAGGAGGGUCUGUUGGGGAAGGAUUUAGAGCAGUAAUGUAUCAGGAGAUUGAAAGGCAGCUGCAUGAGCUUCGUGCAGUUGUGUCAUACAUUACAGGUCUGUUAGACUGACAGUUGGACAGCCAUGAUUAACAGAGAUGGCUGGUGCUAGAUUUGAGGGUGGUACAUGCCCUCAAAAGGCCAAAUACACGUCAUAUAAGCCACUUAGGUCAAGGCUAGCACCCUAGUCAGACUGACAAAAGCCCUCUAAAUUUUGGUGGGGCCAGGAAGUGCCAGAAAUGCUGUCUAAAAUGGUGGUGAAAAUAGCUUGGUCCUGCCUACCCUUAAGUUAGCAUUUAUGCUAUUUUUAGCAUUUAAGCAAGAUUUGUUGCUUUUCUAAGUUGUAGCCCUCUUUUUUAGUUUCGGUGGAGUUUAACCUGGCCUGAAAAAUGCUGUACUGAAUUUUUUCUAAGUGAUAACUCAGUGAGAUGCAGACAGGUGAGCAUAGCUCUACAGCACAAAGAGCCAUUAGCAAAAUGUGAGCCGGUGUACCAAAAUGUUUACAAUUUGCCAGAAUACACUCCAGUAUUUAUCACUUCUGAACCCUCACUUCCUGAAUACCGAUCAUCCUCAGUGUUCCACACAAGUUAUUUGAAGAAGUACUGUUUUAAAAAUUACUAAAUUUAAGAGCCUUUCUCUGUAUGUGGCCUAUUUUUCUCCCUUUACCUGACACUGAGACUUGAAAUGUAAUUGAAGCCACAGCAGACAGGCACUACAGUUUGCAGAUCACCUCUCCCUGUUUUCUGCAGCCUUGGGGAAACAUAAGCAUCCAUGUGGCCCUGUAGUGAAUUACACCAGGGCACCAGACCACGAUAAAAGCAAAAAAAGUGAGUUUUCUGUUUCAUCAAGCCCUCCUUAUCUGUCUCAUGACCACAAACAUCCUGCAUGCGUUCUCAAUGUUUUUACAAAAUGUUGAAUCAAGUUCAAGGCCAUGGAUAUGAUAGUCAGUCACCUGGCCCUAUCAAUCUCCCAACAGACGCCCUAAACUGGCCUCUGUCUUACUGCCCGCUGCCCGUCUGAUCUGGGCUGCUCACUGCGUUUCUGGCUAUAAUUGGGGUUUAUCCUGAGGACUGCCUUAAUGGUUUGGGAUACAGCUUUCUUCAUCAUGAGUUCAAGUUAUUCUUGUUUCUCUUCCCUGCUUUGUCGUGUCUUUGGAUUCUGCCUGCUGCUGUGGAGGCGGUGGUUCUGAUACCAUUAUCUGUUACCAUGUCUGAUUAGAGACAAAACUCUCCAAUACUUGGUUUGGAGUUUUAGAAAGCACGCUGAUAAAAUUCCUCCUGUGCCAAUUCCUCACCAGAGCUUUCCCCUGGCCUUACACACCUUUGACUCUGCUUCGUCAUACAGCCUUCCCUGACAUUUAGUGCGGGUCUUUGACCCUCCCAUUGCUUUGUUCUAGCACAUUCCUCUGGCUUCUGUGGUUGCUGGCAUCUUAUCCACAAUUAGCUUUUUCUCCAUUCCUGCACUGAAUAUGAACCAGCAGACACGUAGGGCGGCCGAUACCAGCCCUCUGCUGAUGUUCUCAGAAGCUCUCGCAGGCCUCUGCGAGGCCAUGAUCUGAGCAGUCACCUCUGCGCUGUUGAGUGCAAACACACAACACUGCUGGGGGGCCCCAAGGUCCCGGCGUACGAGUGGGAGCUCACCCCCGCCGCCGGGACCCAGGGCUACCGCUGCCGGGUGCCCUCCCGGCAGCCACACCUGGCCAGGCCGCGGCCGGCCCCUCACGGCCGGGCCCUGGCGCUCAGCCCCGCGGGCGGCGCCACCCGCGCAGGGCUCCGCUCCCGCCCCCGGGCCCGGGCCAGGUGGCCCCCGCGCCGCUCCGCCGGCAGGUGAGGAGGCGGCGGCCGCGCUGCCCCUCGGUGAGGCGGCG
rnacentral:lncRNA from 1 species